rnacentral:rRNA from 1 species
AGCAGCCAUCUUUCAAAAAGCGUUAAAGCUUCAUUGUUUUUAUCAAAAAAUACCAUUAAUUAACUGUAACCCUUCACCUGUACUGAAUGAUCUCAUAAUUGUAUGAGAACCUAUAUGUUAGAACUAGUAACAAGAAGAAGCCCUUCUCCAAAAUGUAAGCAUAAGCCAAAAUGAACCAUUCAUUGGCAUUUAAAGUUAUAAACCCAUUGUAGCAACUUAACAAGAAAAACCUACAACUGCAAACGUCAACCUUACACCAGCACAUUUCUGGAAAGAUAAAAAGAAUAGGAAGGAACUCGGCAAAUAACUAACCCCGCCUGUUUACCAAAAACAUCGCCUCCUGAUCACCCAUAGGAGGUCCAGCCUGCCCAGUGACUAAGUUAAACGGCCGCGGUACCCUAACCGUGCAAAGGUAGCGCAAUCACUUGUUCUUUAAAUGAGGACUAGUAUGAACGGCAUCACGAGGGUUAUGCUGUCUCCCUACUCUACUCAGUGAAACUGAUCUCCCCGUGAAGAAGCGGGGAUAAAAAUAUAAGACGAGAAGACCCCAUGGAGCUUUAAACUCAGUACCAACUGCCCCAAUAAUAACCUAUUAUCCUUGCAGCCAUGGUUACUAGUUUUCGGUUGGGGUGACCACGGAGUAAAAUUUAACCUCCACGAUGAAAGGAACUAAUAUCCUAACCUGUGAGCUACAGCUCUAAGUAUCAACAAAUUGACUAAUUGACCCAAUUACUUGAUCAACGAACCAAGUUACCCUGGGGAUAACAGCGCAAUCCAUUUCAAGAGCUCAUAUCGACAAAUGGGUUUACGACCUCGAUGUUGGAUCAGGGUAUCCCAGUGGCGCAGCCGCUACUAACGGUUC